UUGCAAACCAUUCAGAUCAGGAAAAUAUUGUUUUUGUCCAUCAUCGAUUUAAAAGCACUGUUGGAUCUUGAAGAGUUCAUUUAUAUAUGUCGUUGAGCAAAUAAUACCCUGUAGCAAACUUAAUUUUAAAUGAUACCUACUAUUUUCUCUUCCGUUUCAUGAAUUUCUGUUAAAAGCAUUUUUGUCAUAUAAAAACAAGGAGUUUUAGUUGUGAUUGCCAAUGAGACAACUAUUCAUAAAAGGCCUCACGAGA
rnacentral:lncRNA from 1 species